rnacentral:misc_RNA from 1 species
CUGGGUAACCGAGCGCUCCGGCGCUCACCCCCCACCCUUUGUUUCCCGCCCCUGUUCGGCGUCAGGCGGGCCCCUCGAUGGGGGGGCCCUCCGGCCGGAAUCCAAACCCUGAUCAACAGUGCAGCCUGAAGUAACAAGCAAAUAGUUA